AUUGAACGCUGGCGGCAUGCCUAACACAUGCAAGUCGAACGGCAGCACAGCAGUAGCAAUACUGUGGGUGGCGAGUGGCGGACGGGUGAGGAAUACGUCGGAAUCUGCCCAGUCGUGGGGAUAACUAGCCGAAAGGUUAGCUAAUACCGCAUACGACCGAGAGGUGAAAGCGGGGGACCGCAAGGCCUCGCGCGAUUGGAUGAGCCGACGUCGGAUUAGCUAGUUGGCGGGGUAAAGGCCCACCAAGGCGACGAUCCGUAGCUGGUCUGAGAGGAUGAUCAGCCACACUGGAACUGAGACACGGUCCAGACUCCUACGGGAGGCAGCAGUGGGGAAUAUUGGGACAAUGGGCGCAAGCCUGAUCCAGCAAUGCCGCGUGUGUGAAGAAGGCCUUCGGUUGUAAGCGACUUUAUC
rnacentral:rRNA from 1 species